ACGGGAGGCAGCAGUGGGGGAUAUUGCACGAUGGGGGAAACCCUGAUGCAGCGACGCCGCGUGAGUGAUGAAGUAUUUCGGUAUGUAAAGCUCUAUCAGCAGGAAAGAUAAUGACGGUACCUGACUAAGAAGCACCGGCUAAAUACGUGCCAGCAGCCGCGGUAAUACGUAUGGUGCAAGCGUUAUCCGGAUUUACUGGGUGUAAAGGGAGCGCAGACGGCAUGGCAAGCCAGAUGUGAAAGGGAGGGGCUCAACUCCUGGACUGCAUUUGGAACUGUCAAGCUAGAGUAUCGGAGAGGUAAGUGGAAUUCCUAGUGUAGCGGUGAAAUGCGUAGAUAUUAGGAGGAACACCAGUGGCGAAGGCGGCUUACUGGACGAUAACUGACGUUGAGGCUCGAAAGCGUGGGGAGCAAACAGGAUUAGAUACCCUGGUA
rnacentral:rRNA from 1 species